rnacentral:rRNA from 1 species
ACGAACGCUGGCGGCGUGCUUAACACAUGCAAGUCACGGGGGCCGCAAGGGUAACCGGCGAACGGGUGCGUAACACGUGAACAACCUGCCCUCGUGUGGGGGAUAGCCAUGCUAACGCGUGGGUAAUACCGCAUACGUUCUUUUCGGGAGUCCCGAGGGGAAGAAAGCUCCGGCGCACGGGGAGGGGUUCGCGGCCUAUCAGCUAGUUGGUGCGGGUAAUGGGCCCACCAAGGCGACGACGGGUAGCGUGGUCGGAGAGGAUGGCCAGCCACAUUGGGACUGAGAGACGGCCAGACUCUACGGGAGGCAGCAGUGGGGAAUAGUUGCGC